GGGUCAGUAGGUUGGUCGUGCCACCGGUACGUACUGGUCUCACUGAUUCCUCCAUCCCGAAGAACCGUAAUGCCAUUAAUUUGGUGUUGCGGGGAAACAGGACUGUUACUUUGAAAAAAUUAGAGUGUUUAAAGCAAGCUAACGCUUGAAUACAUUAGCAUGGAAUAAUGAAAUAGGACGAUCGAUCCUAUUUUGUUGGUUUCUAGGAUUGACGUA
rnacentral:rRNA from 1 species